rnacentral:rRNA from 1 species
GACGUAGGGCGCGAGCGUUGUCCGGAUUUAUUGGGCGUAAAGAGCUCGUAGGCGGCUUGUUGCGUCUGCUGUGAAAUCCCGGGGCUUAACCCCGGGCGUGCAGUGGAUACGGGCAGGCUGGAGGCAGGCAGGGGAGAAUGGAAUUCCCGGUGUAGCGGUGAAAUGCGCAGAUAUCGGGAGGAACACCGGUGGCGAAGGCGGUUCUCUGGGCCUGUUCUGACGCUGAGGAGCGAAAGCGUGGGGAGCGAACAGG